UUAUGGCUCAGGAUGAAUGCUGGCGGCAUGCCUAAUACAUGCAAGUCGAGCGGUAACAGGACUAGCUUGCUAGUGCUGACGAGCGGCGGACGGGCUGAGUAACGCGUGGGAACGGACCCCAAACUGAGGGAUAACGCACCGAAAGGUGUGCUAAUACCGCAUGUGAUCUUCGGAUUAAAGCUUUCGAGCGGUUUGGGACUGGCCUGCGUACGAUUAGAUAGUUGGUGAGGUAAUGGCUCACCAAGUCGACGAUCGUUAGAUGGUUUGAGAGGAUGAUCAUCCAGACUGGGACUGAGACACGGCCCAGACUCCUACGGGAGGCAGCAGUAGGGAAUCUUUCACAAUGGGCGAAAGCCUGAUGGAGCAAUGCCGCGUGCAGGACGAAGGCCUUCGGGUUGUAAACUGCUUUUAUAAGCGAGGAAUAUGACGGUAACUUAUGAAUAAGGAUCGGCUAACUACGUGCCAGCAGCGGC
rnacentral:rRNA from 1 species